rfam:Ictidomys tridecemlineatus contig008599, whole genome shotgun sequence.
AUUUUCUCAAUUCCACAACACAUACACUAAAAUUAAAAUAUACAGAGAAGAUUAGCAUGGACCCUGAGCAAGGAUAACAUGCAAAUUUGUGAAGUAAUCCACAUUUUA